rnacentral:rRNA from 1 species
GACGAACGCUGGCGGCGUGCUUAACACAUGCAAGUCGAACGAUGAAGUUCCUUCGGGAAUGGAUUAGUGGCGAACGGGUGAGGAACACGUGAGAAACCUGCCUCUCAUUUUGGGAUAACGCCGGUAAACCGCGGCUAAAACCGCAUACUACGUCUCGGCGGCAUCGCUGAGCCGGGAAAAAAUGUUGAUGAAAGAUGGUCUCGCGGCCUAUCGGUUAGUUGGGGAGGUAAUGGCUCACCAAGGCACCGACGGGUAGCCUGCCUGAGACGGGCGACCGGCCACACUGAGGCUGAGACACGGCCCAGACUCCUACGGGAGGCAGCAGUGGGGAAUAUUGGGCAAUGGGCGCAAGCCUGACCCAGCGACGCCGCGUGAGGGAUGAAGGCCUUCGGGUUGUAAACCGCUUUCAGUAGGGAAGAAGCGAAAGUGACGGUACCGGAAGAAGAAGCCCCGGCUAACUUCGUGCCAGCCGCCGCAGUAA